rnacentral:rRNA from 1 species
CUACGGGGUGCACCAGUGGGGAAUAUUGGACAAUGGGGGAAACCCUGAUCCAGCAAUGCCGCGUGUGUGAAGAAGGCCUGCGGGUUGUAAAGCACUUUCGGUUGGGAGGACUGCUUCUAGCACUAAUAUUGAUGGAAGUUGACGUUACCUUCAGAAGAAGCACCGGCUAACUCCGUGCCAGCAGCCGCGGUAAUACGGAGGGUGCAAGCGUUAAUCGGAAUUACUGGGCGUAAAGCGCGCGUAGGCGGCUAGAUCAGUCGGGUGUGAAAGCCCCGGGCUUAACCUGGGAACUGCAUCCGAUACUGUCUAGCUUGAGUACAGGAGAGGAGAGUGGAAUUCCACAUGUAGCGGUGAAAUGCGUAGAUAUGUGGAGGAACACCAAUGGCGAAGGCAGCUCUCUGGCCUGAUACUGACGCCGAGGUGCGAAAGCGUGGGGAGCAAACAGGAUUAGAUACCCCAGUAGUC